UGCAGUCGACGGUAGCAGGUCUUCGGAUGCUGACGAGUGGCGAACGGGUGAGUAUCACAUCGGAACGUGCCUAGUAGUGGGGGAUAACUACUCGAAAGAGUAGCUAAUACCGCAUGAGAUCUAAGGAUGAAAGCAGGGGACCUUCGGGCCUUGCGCUACUAGAGCGGCUGAUGGCAGAUUAGGUAGUUGGUGGGAUAAAAGCUUACCAAGCCGACGAUCUGUAGCUGGGCUGAGAGGACGACCAGCCACACUGGGACUGAGACACGGCCCACACUCCUACGGGAGGCAGCAGUGGGGAAUUUUGGACAAUGGGCGAAAGCCUGAUCCACCAAUGCCGCGUGCAGGAUGAAGGCCCUCGGGUUGUAAACUGCUUUUGUACGGAACGAAAAGACUCUCUCUAAUAAAGAGGGUCCAUGACGGUACCGUAAGAAUAAGCACCGGCUAACUACGUGCCAGCAGCCGCGGUAAUACGUAGGGUGCGAGCGUUAAUCGGAAUUACUGGGCGUAAAGCGUGCGCAGGCGGUUAUGUAAGACAGAGGUGAAAUCCCCGGGCUCAACCUGGUGAACGGCCUUUGUGACUGCAUGGCUAGAGUGCGGCAGAGGAGGGAUGGAAUUCCGCGUGUAGCAGUGAAAUGCGUAGAUAUGCGGAGGAACACCGAUGGCGAAGGCAAUCCCCUGGGCCUGCACUGACGCUCAUGCACGAAAGCGUGGGGAGCAAACAGGAUUAGAUACCCUGGUAGUCCACGCCCCUAA
rnacentral:rRNA from 2 species